GACGAACGCUGGCGGCGUGCUUAACACAUGCAAGUCGAACGGACAGGCCCUGGUUUUGUGGGGUGCUCGAGUGGCGAACGGGUGAGUAACACGUGAGUAACCUGCCCUUGACGUUGGGAUAACUUCAGGAAAAUGGGGCUAAUACCGGAUAGGAGCUCCUGCUGCAUGGUGGGGGUUGGAAAGUUUCGGCGGUUGGGGAUGGACUCGCGGCUUAUCAGCUUGUUGGUGGGGUAGUGGCUUACCAAGGCUUUGACGGGUAGCCGGCCUGAGAGGGUGAGCUGCCACAUCGGGACGGAGAUGCGGCCCAGACUCCUACGGGAGGCAGCAGUGGGGAAUAGUGCACAAUGGGCUGAAGCUUGAUGCAGCAACGCCGCGUGCGGGAUGACGGCCUUCUGGUUGUAAACCGCUUUCGCCUGUGACGAAGCGUGAGUGACGGUAAUGGGUAAAGAAGCACCGGCUAACUACGUG
rnacentral:rRNA from 1 species